GAUGAACGCCGGCGGCGUGCCUAAUACAUGCAAGUCGAGCGAACAGACGAGGAGCUUGCUCCUUUGACGUUAGCGGCGGACGGGUGAGUAACACGUGGAUAACCUACCUAUAAGACUGGGAUAACUUCGGGAAACCGGAGCUAAUACCGGAUAACAUGUUGAACCGCAUGGUUCAACAGUGAAAGACGGUCUUGCUGUCACAUAUAGAUGGAUACGCGCCGCAUUAGCUAGUUGGUAAGGUAACGGCUUAUCAAGGCAACGAUGCGUAGCCGACCUGAGAGGGUGAUGGGCCACACUGGAGCUGAGACACGGUCCAGACUCCUACGGGAGGCAGCAGUAGGGAAUCUUCCGCAAUGGGCGAAAGCCUGACGGAGCAACGCCGCGUGAGUGAAGAAGGUCUUCGGAUCGUAAAACUCUGUUAUUAGGGAAGAACAAAUGUGUAAGUAACUAUGCACGUCUUGACGGUACCUAAUCAGAAGGCCACGGCUAGCUACGUG
rnacentral:rRNA from 1 species